rnacentral:rRNA from 1 species
UGCAAGUCGAGCGCGAAAGGCCUUCGGGCUGAGUAGAGCGGCGGACGGGUGAGUAACGCGUAGGAAUCUACCUGGUAGUGGGGGACAACAUGGUGAAAACCAUGCUAAUACCGCAUACGCCCUAUGGGGGAAAGCGGGGGACCUUCGGGCCUCGCGCUAUCAGAUGAGCCUGCGUAGGAUUAGCUUGUUGGUGAGGUAAAGGCUCACCAAGGCGACGAUCCUUAGCUGGUCUGAGAGGAUGAUCAGCCACACUGGAACUGAAACACGGUCCAGACUCCUACGGGAGGCAGCAGUGGGGAAUAUUGCGCAAUGGGCGAAAGCCUUACGCAGCCAUGCCGCGUGUGUGAAGAAGGCCUUCGGGUUGUAAAGCACUUUCAAUUGGGAAGAAAGGUUGCGUGUUAAUAGCACGUAGCGGUGACGGUACCUUUAGAAGAAGCACCGGCUAACUCCGUGCCAGCAGCCGCGGUAAUACGGAGGGUGCGAGCGUUAAUCGGAAUUACUGGGCGUAAAGCGCGCGUAGGCGGUUUGUUAAGUCGGAUGUGAAAUCCCCGGGCUCAACCUGGGAAUGGCAUUCGAUACUGGCCGACUAGAGUACGAGAGAGGGAGGUAGAAUUCCACGUGUAGCGGUGAAAUGCGUAGAUAUGUGGAGGAAUACCGGUGGCGAAGGCGGCCUCCUGGGCUCGAUACUGACGCUGAGGUG